rnacentral:rRNA from 1 species
CAGUAGCCGCGGUAAUACGUAGGGUGCAAGCGUUAUCCGGAAUUAUUGGGCGUAAAGAGCUCGUAGGCGGUUUGUCGCGUCUGCUGUGAAAACUGGAGGCUCAACCUCCAGCCUGCAGUGGGUACGGGCAGACUAGAGUGCGGUAGGGGAGAUUGGAAUUCCUGGUGUAGCGGUGGAAUGCGCAGAUAUCAGGAGGAACACCGAUGGCGAAGGCAGAUCUCUGGGCCGUAACUGACGCUGAGGAGCGAAAGCGUGGGGAGCGAACAGGAUUAGAUACCCGCGUAGUCCCUGUCUCUUAUAC